UACGUAGGGAGCAAGCGUUGUCCGGAAUCAUUGGGCGUAAAGCGCGCGUAGGUGGCCUCAUAAGUCCGCUGUGAAAGUCAAAGGCUCAACCUUUGAAAGCCGGUGGAUACUGUGAGGCUAGAGUACGGAAGAGGCGAGUGGAAUUCCUGGUGCAGCGGUGGAAUGCGCAGAUAUCAGGAGGAACACCAAUAGCGAAGGCAGCUCGCUGGGACGUUCUGACACUGAGGCGCGAAGGCGUGGGGAGCGAACAGG
rnacentral:rRNA from 1 species